rnacentral:miRNA from 2 species
AGAGACUUGGCUGAUGCAUUACU